CCUACGGGAGGCAGCAGUGGGAAUCUUGCACAAUGGGGGAAACCCUGAUGCAGCGACGCCGCGUGGAGGAUGACGGGUCUAGGCCUGUAAACUCCUUUUGCACAGAAAGACUUAGGACGGUACUGUGCGAAUAAGGACCGGCUAACUACGUGCCAGCAGCCGCGGUAAGACGUAGGGUCCAAGCGUUGUCCGGAUUUACUGGGCGUAAAGAGCGCGUAGGCGGUCUGUUAAGUGAGAAGUGAAAUCUCCAGGGCUCAACCCGGAAACUGCUUUUCAUACUGGCGGACUUGAGGGAUGCAGAGGUGAAUGGAAUUCCUGGUGUAGCGGUGAAAUGCGUUGAUAUCAGGAGGAACACCCAUGGCGAAGGCAGUUCACUGGGCAUCAUCUGACGCUGAGGCGCGAAAGCGUGGGUAGCAAACAGGAUUAGAUACCCUGGUAGUCCACGCCCUAAACGAUGGAUACUAGGCGUAAGAGGUAUCGACCCCUCUUGUGCCGCAGCUAACGCAUUAAGUAUCCCGCCUGGGGAGUACGGCCGCAAGGUUGAAACUCAAAUGAAUUGACGGGGACCCGCACAAGCGGUGGAGCAUGUGGAUUAAUUCGAUACUAACCGAAGAACCUUACCCAGACUUGACAUCGAUCGCAAGCCCUAGAAAUAGGGCCCUCCCCCACAAGGGGACGUGAAGACACUUGUUGCAUGGCUGUCGUCAGCUCGUGCCGUGAGGUGUACGGUUAAGUCCGCCAACGAGCGCAACCCUCGUCCUGUGUUACCAGCAUGAAAGAUGGGCACUUACAGGAGACCGCCGGUGUAAGCCGGAGGAAGGUGGGGAUGACGUCAAGUCAGCAUGGCAGUUACGUCUGGGGCUUCACACAUGCUACAAUGGACGAAACAGAGGGCCGCGAUACCGCGAGGUGGAGCCAAUCCCAAAAAUACGUCCUCAGUUCAGAUUGCAGUCUGCAACUCGACUGCAUGAAGUUGGAAUCGCUAGUAA
rnacentral:rRNA from 1 species